GUGGGGAAUCUUCCGCAAUGGACGAAAGUCUGACGGAGCAACGCCGCGUGAGUGAAGAAGGUUUUCGGAUCGUAAAGCUCUUUCGUUAGGGACGAACGUGCUCUUUGUGAAUAAUGAGGAGUAAUGACGGUACCUAAAUAAGAAGCCACGGCUAACUACGUGCCAGCAGCCGCGGUAAUACGUAGGUGGCAAGCGUUGUCCGGAAUUAUUGGGCGUAAAGCGCGCGCAGGCGGGAUAUCAAGUCUGUCUUAAAAGUGCGAGGCUCAACCUCGUGAGGGGACAGAAACUGGUAUUCUUGAGUGUCGGAGAGGAAAGUGGAAAUCCAAGUGUAGCGGUGAAAUGCGUAGAGAUUUGGAAGAACACCAGUGGCGAAGGCGACUUUCUGGACGAUGUCUGACGCUGAGGCGCGAAAGCUAGGGGAGCGAACGGGAUUAGAAACCCCGGUAGUCC
rnacentral:rRNA from 1 species